UACGGAGGGGGCUAGCGUUGUUCGGAAUUACUGGGCGUAAAGCGCGCGUAGGCGGCUUUGUAAGUCAGAGGUGAAAUCCCGGGGCUCAACUCCGGAACUGCCUUUGAAACUGCAUCGCUUGAAUCCGGGAGAGGUGAGUGGAAUUCCGAGUGUAGAGGUGAAAUUCGUAGAUAUUCGGAAGAACACCAGUGGCGAAGGCGGCUCACUGGACCGGUAUUGACGCUGAGGCGCGAAAGCGUGGGGAGCAAACAGG
rnacentral:rRNA from 1 species